AAGCGGCGGAGCAUGUGGAUUAAUUCGAUGCAACGCGAAGAACCUUACCUGGGCUUGACAUACACCGGAUCGGGCUAGAGAUAGUCUUUCCCUUGUGGCUGGUGUACAGGUGGUGCAUGGUUGUCGUCAGCUCGUGUCGUGAGAUGUUGGGUUAAGUCCCGCAACGAGCGCAACCCUUGUCUUAUGUUGCCAGCACGUGAUGGUGGGGACUCAUGAGAGACUGCCGGGGUUAACUCGGAGGAAGGUGGGGAUGACGUCAAAUCAUCAUGCCCCUUAUGUCCAGGGCUUCACACAUGCUACAAUGGUCGGUACAACGCGUGUGCGACACUGUGAGGUGAAGCUAAUCGCUCUAAAGCCGGUCGUAGUUCGGAUUGGGGUCUGCAACUCGACCCCAUGAAGUCGGAGUCGCUAGUAAUCGCGCAUCAGCCAUGGCGCGGUGAAUACGUUCCCGGGCCUU
rnacentral:rRNA from 1 species